GUCUCCGUGGCGCAAUUGGUAUGUUCAACUUAACAUCUACAACAAUUCAAAUUUAAUACUAAUAUCAAAUUCAGGUUAGCGCGUCUGACUGUUAAUCAGGAGGUUGGAAGUUCGAGCCUUCCCGGGGACG